rnacentral:piRNA from 1 species
ACUACUAGUUCAGUGUGAUCUGAAACUUGU